AAGACGGACAGCGAAGAGCAACAACCGGUGUGGACAUGUCGGAAGAUCGGCGACCAAAUGCCCAGGUGGACAAUUCUGCAGUUGUAAGGUCAGCAAGACAUCUAUUAAAUUUACUAACAAACUUGACCUCUGGACCUACCGGACCCAUAACCUCUGGACCUACCGGGCCCAUAACCUCUGGACCUACCAGGCCCAUAUUCUCGGGACCCACCAGUUGUAGGGACCAAACAGUCCAAAUUACUCCCAGACCUGGAACCAGUCAAGAGAGAGAGAUUAUCGGCCAAAUGUUCACACCG